rnacentral:rRNA from 1 species
CGGGACGGGUGAGUAAUGUAUGGGGAUCUGCCUGAUGGGCGGGGGAUAAUUACUGGAAACGGUAGCUAAUACCGCAUAAUGUCUACGGACCAAAGCGGGGGACCUCCGGGCCUCGCGCCAUCAGAUGAACCCAUAUGGGAUUAGCUUGUAGGUAAGGUAACGGCUUACCUAGGCGACGAUCCCUAGCUGGUCUGAGAGGAUGAUCAGCCACACUGGGACUGAGACACGGCCCAG